GACAGAGGGUGCAAGCGUUGUUCGGAAUUACUGGGCGUAAAGCGCGUGUAGGCGGCGUCGUUAGUCGGAUGUGAAAGCCCUCGGCUCAACCGAGGAAGUGCAUCCGAUACUGCGAUGCUUGAGUGUUGGAGGGGGUGGCGGAAUUCCCGGUGUAGAGGUGAAAUGCGUAGAGAUCGGAAAGAACACCAACGGCGAAAGCACUCUGCUGGGCCGACACUGACACUGAGAGACGAAAGCUAGGGGAGCGAAUGGG
rnacentral:rRNA from 1 species